AUCACCAAUUCAGCUAUACUCACCAACUCACUUGCCCAACAGACGGCUAGAUUAACUUAUAACUCAGGCGCUGAGCCCAAAAUACUUCUCAAUUUGUUUAGGUAUUUUACUCAUUUUCAGGGGAUGUUUAGUUGAUUAAUUAAAUAACGCUUUAAAUAACAAUAAAUAAUUAAAUUACUUUAUCAAAGUGAUGCAUGACAAACCAAGGCCUGUUCUUUGCAUAACAUCCCUGUUCCAACAAUAACUCUUGAAAAUAAUGUUUAUAAUUUGUAUGCCUUCCAGAGGCAGACUUGCACGGCCAAGACAGAACAAAUACUGUCGAUCACAAAUAAGAAUGUAUGUCUUUCAGUAUUUAUUUCUGGGCUGAAUAAAAGAUCAUCAGUUUUUUCAUGCUGUGUGAUUAAAUCUUGAAGGAAAAUUUCAACUGCACAAGGCAUAAUUAGCCUGAUUUAUGGUUGUUUAAGGAUCUGCUGUGAAGAUAAUCCAUCUAAUACAGAAACGAGGCUGAGUAAACAUUUUUUACCAUCAUUUUCUUACGUUUACUUGUUACAUCUGUUUAUGAGUAUAAACAUUAAUGAAUUUUCGUGGUCUUCAGUAUUAUACUAUAAACUAAAAUACUGUAAUUAUUUAUUAAAGGUAACCCAUAUUUAAAAA